rnacentral:rRNA from 1 species
UACAGAGGGGGCGAGCGUUGUUCGGAAUUACUGGGCGUAAAGGGCGCGUAGGCGGCCCGCUAAGUCGAACGUGAAAUCCCCAGGCUCAACCUGGGAACUGCGUCCGAUACUGGCAGGCUUGAAUCCGGGAGAGGGAUGUGGAAUUCCAGGUGUAGCGGUGAAAUGCGUAGAUAUCUGGAGGAACACCGGUGGCGAAGGCGGCGUCCUGGACUGCAACUGACACUGAGGAACGAAAGCCAGGGGAGCAAACGGG